GCUUCUUUGAUGGAAGACAUACGUCGAAGACCGACCCUUUUAUGAUUUAUCGAUUAUCUUGGUCUUACAGCCCAAUCCUCUCUCAAGUUGGUCAAACAUUUCUUUGGUUUCAAUGAAUUUCGACAGAUUCUCCAAAUUAUUUAGUUUCACUUUGGCUUGUCAAGUGGUUAUUAUUCCGUCUAAUAUUUGUCUCUGGUGGCUGUCCAACAUGGUGGGAGCUUAUUGCUUUGAAUUGGCACUACGAAUCUCAGGUCAACAGCUGGGAUUUUUUCGAUUAUCACAAGUUCAAUAUCCAUCAUCAAAUCGCCAUUAACUAAUCGAUGAUAUCUUGACAUUGUAUGUCUGGCAUCUGGUGACAUGUGUAGUCAUUAGCAUCUUUACUCUUAUUGUCGUCGCACCCUGACACGCUUUUUUUAUUUCUAUGCUUGUUUUGUAUGUGAUAAAAUGGUAGUAUCUUGAUUAUAUUUGCAUAACACCUUAUUUCGUUAAGAAUGACCUAAACUAAUAAAACAAUUACAAUAAUCGUAAUAAUUGUAUUAAUUAUAAUAACUAAGAGUUAACAUAAUAAUAGCUCGUUUAGAUCGUCCUGGUUAGUAUAGUACUGAGAAGGACUAUUUUUCUUGCUGUUAACUGACGCUUCGACAAACUUAGCGGUAGUAAUUUUCGAAGUCAAA